UUCCAGGCCGAGUGGUUAAGGCGACAGACUUGAAUCUUCUUCCGGUAUCUGUUUCAUUCGUGAGCGCAGGUUCGAACCCUGCAGGUGUCGAAU
rnacentral:tRNA from 1 species